rnacentral:rRNA from 1 species
CCCUACGGGGUGCAGCAGGCGCGAAAACUUUACAAUGCUGGCAACAGCGAUAAGGGAACCUCGAGUGCCAGGUUACAAAUCUGGCUGUCGUGAUGCCUAAAAAGCAUUGCAUAGCAAGGGCCGGGCAAGACCGGUGCCAGCCGCCGCGGUAACACCGGCGGCUCGAGUGGUAACCGUUAUUAUUGGGUCUAAAGGGUCUGUAGCCGGCCGGAUAAGUCUCUUGAGAAAUCUGGCAGCUUAACUGUCAGGCUUUCAGGAGAUACUGUCUGGCUCGAGGCCGGGAGAGGUGAGAGGUACUUCAGGGGUAGGGGUGAAAUCUUGUAAUCCUUGAAGGACCACCAGUGGCGAAGGCGUCUCACCAGAACGGACCUGACGGCAAGGGACGAAAGCUAGGGGCACGAACCGG